rnacentral:rRNA from 1 species
UACGUAGGGGGCAAGCGUUGUCCGGAUUUAUUGGGCGUAAAGAGCGUGUAGGCGGCCGCACAGGUCCGUUGUGAAAACUGGAGGCUUAACCUUCAGACGUCGAUGGAAACCGUGCGGCUAGAGUCCGGAAGAGGAGAAUGGAAUUCCUGGUGUAGCGGUGAAAUGCGCAGAUAUCGGGAGGAACACCAAUGGCGAAGGCAGCUCGCUGGGACGGUACUGACGCUGAGACGCGAAAGCGUGGGGAGCGAACAGG